AUUGAACGCUGGCGGCAGGCUUAACACAUGCAAGUCGAGCGGAAACGAUGAUAGCUUGCUAUCAGGCGUCGAGCGGCGGACGGGUGAGUAACGCGUAGGAAACUACCCAGUAGUGGGGGACAACAGUUGGAAACGACUGCUAAUACCGCAUACGCUCUACGGAGGAAAGGGGGCUUCGGCUCUCGCUAUUGGAUGUGCCUGCGUGAGAUUAGCUAGUUGGUGGGGUAAAGGCCUACCAAGGCAACGAUCUCUAGCUGGUCUGAGAGGAUGAUCAGCCACACUGGGACUGAGACACGGCCCAG
rnacentral:rRNA from 1 species